UUAAGAAUCAUACCGACCUUAUUGUGUAUUUUUUUAAAAAUUUCUAUUCAAUAAUUCCUAAGAUAAAAAAUUUCAUUUUUAAUGAAACUAAAGCAAAUAUAAUUUCAAUGUUAUAUUAGUAUUGCAAGCAGAAGCAUAUUGUGAAAACCAAUAUCAAAGUUUUGAUCGAAUAUUAAUUAAAGUAUCUAUUACUUUCUAUUCAUUAAGUAGAAAAUGAACAUGUCGUACAAGUUGUAGUUUUCUGUAACAUUUAAAUAAGAAACAUAAUACAAAUAAUUAUAUUUAAAAAUGUGAAACAAUAUAAUUCGAUUAUAUUCGUUGUUACAUUUAAUUUGGAUAGAUUAUCAUUUCUUAGUCUCGAAUUUUCGUUUGUGAUGUAUAAAAGUUGUUCUGUUCGUAAAAAUAUAUAUUCUUAUAUAAUUUAAACUAUGAUUUUUAAUCUCAAAUUCAUACUGCGAAUAUAUUUGUAUCAACAAUUUUCUAAUGUUCUAAUGGGGAAAAAAAAAGAAAAAAAAAAAAAGGAAAAUUAUCAAAAACAUACCAACUUUGAACUUGAUUUUACGUGAAUAUUUACAAGACUGACAGGUGCCCCUAUACUAUAAAUCAUAAUAUACAAAUUGUUAUAUCAGUUUUACAUAAAUAAGAUGAUUCAUUCCACCGGCAGUAGCAAAACUCUUCGCAAUCGUUUUACAAUAAAUAAUGCAUAUAUAUACGUCCUAGAAAAAAAAGAAAGGAAAAAAAAAAAAGAAAACAACAACAACAUUGCGAGUGUGCCUACAUUAUAAUUUGAAAGUAUAAAAACAAAAGCAACUCGUUGUCGCCCGUUAAUUAUUUAAGUUCGAAAAUAAUUUUUUUUACUUUCGAGGAAUUUCAAAAUUACUAGCGCCUUGGCGCCAAAACUUAUUGUCCAUAUCGUUGGUGAAUAGACGUACAUAUUAAAUAAAAUUAUUUUCGAUUUGAAGUACUUGUAUGUGCAUAUAAUAUUUCCUUAAAGAAAAAGGAAGAGAAAGAUACAGAGAGAGAGAGAGAGAGAGAGAGAGAAGUGGGGGAGAAAGAGAGAGAGCAAAAGAAAUAAAUAAAGAAGGAGAUGUUGAAGAAGAGAUUAACAACGUUUAUGGAUGUAACAGAUUUUUGGUACACGCUUUGGUACGACUAAAGCAGGAUACAUACAUACAUCCUUUAAACACGAAUCCCGUGCCUUCUGUGCCUCUGCAUUUUAUCACAAUUUCACAUUACACGGAAAAAAGAAUGAUGUGAAAAGUGAAACACGUUAUAGAUAACCGAUGGAAUAUCGUAAGACAAAAAGUACGAUAAUGGACGAUGGAAUAAGAAGUAUAAAAGAAGUAUCGAAACUUAUUUAAUCAACGAUCGUUCCAAUGAUCGUCGUUCAAUGAAGCACGGAGUGACAAUCGGUUAAAAGAAAAAAAUGGCCGAUCGUGCUAUCGAAGACGUUCAAUAAUAAAAUAAAUUACAAUUGCAAGACACCUCCCCUUCUCCAUUAAAAUUCUUUAUGAUUGAAACGCACUCUUUUGCGUUUAUUAUAGUUAUGUGAACGGAAAGACAAAAAAACACAAAAAAGAAACAAAUAAAUAAGCAACGUGUUUUAAUUAUUUCUAAUUUCUUAAGUGCGCCUUUCAAUUACAUUAUUGAUCGGCCAUCGUAAUUAUGAAUACGAAUACGAGUUUGUGCAUUGUAAAAAAUUUGCGAAUUUAGUUGGCUGUAUGUGUUUAAUAUAUGUUCUAAUAUUCUCACUGCGAUGUCAUUGUGCUUAUUAUAUAAAUGCUUGUUACAUAAUUGUUCACAGAAAACAUUAUACGGCCAUUAAGAUGAGAAUACGAUAUUACUUAUGCGGUUUAACAAUGUAUUUACAUGUGCACUGAUACACACUACUCUUUUUAUUUUGUUUCGAAACUACCGCUAAAUAUCGAUACAUGUUAACCAGCAUAUGUGAUAUACGUCUCUAUGUGCAUAUUUAUAAAAACCACGAAUUUUGCUUUUGACAAAGCAGCUCUGCGAUGUACAAAAAUGCCAAUAUCAAUAUAACAUAUGUACAUAAUGCAACACAAAACUAUAUUGCUAAUAAUAAAUAUUCAAAUAUGUUUGCUCUCCCGUAA